UACGUAGGUGGCAAGCGUUGUCCGGAUUUAUUGGGCGUAAAGCGAGCGCAGGCGGUUCCUUAAGUCUGAUGUGAAAGCCCACGGCUCAACCGUGGAAGGUCAUUGGAAACUGGGGAACUUGAGUGCAGAAGAGGAGAGUGGAAUUCCAUGUGUAGCGGUGAAAUGCGUAGAUAUAUGGAGGAACACCAGUGGCGAAGGCGACUCUCUGGUCUGUAACUGACGCUGAGGCUCGAAAGCGUGGGGAGCAAACAGGAUUAGAUACCCU
rnacentral:rRNA from 1 species